UAGGGAAUCUUCCGCAAUGGACGAAAGUCUGACGGAGCAACGCCGCGUGAGUGAUGAAGGUUUUCGGAUCGUAAAACUCUGUUGUUAGGGAAGAACAAGUACAAGAGUAACUACUUGUACCUUGACGGUACCUAACCAGAAAGCCACGGCUAACUACGUGCCAGCAGCCGCGGUAAUACGUAGGUGGCAAGCGUUGUCCGGAAUUAUUGGGCGUAAAGCGCGCGCAGGCGGUCCUUUAAGUCUGAUGUGAAAGCCCACGGCUCAACCGUGGAGGGUCAUUGGAAACUGGGGGACUUGAGUGCAGAAGAGAAGAGUGGAAUUCCACGUGUAGCGGUGAAAUGCGUAGAGAUGUGGAGGAACACCAGUGGCGAAGGCGACUCUUUGGUCUGUAACUGACGCUGAGGCGCGAAAGCGUGGGGAGCAAACA
rnacentral:rRNA from 1 species